rnacentral:tRNA from 2 species
CCCGCCUUAGCUCAGAGGUAGAGCGCGCGGCUGUAGACCGCGUGGUCCCCGGUUCAAAUCCGGGAGGCGGGA